rnacentral:sRNA from 1 species
UCAUGUAUAUCAGUGUUCCAUCCAGUGAGUAUUGAGAUUUCAAUUUGCUAGUAAGAUUUUUUUAGUCUAUUCUAUUAUCAUUAAUUUUAAAAUCUUUUAAACUAUUGUUUAAAUUUAAAGGGCUCGGACAAAAAUAGUUUAUUCUACAUAUAGUCGAAAAUCUGCCAAAGAAGUAAGGGAUAAAUUGUUGGAGUUACAUGUGAAUUAUUAUGUUUUAGAAGAGGCAUGGUGUGUUGUGAGAACUAAGCCUGGUUGCAGUAUGCUUGAAAUCUGGGAUGUGGAAGACCCUUCCAAUGCAGCUAAUCCUCCUUUAUGUAGCGUCCUGCUCGAAGAUGCAAGGCCUUACUUCACCACAGUAUUUCAGAAUAGUGUGUACAGAGUACUGAAGGUUAACUGAGAAGGAAACUACCCAUUACACUAUGGCACAAUGCCGUGUGUCAAAAACAAUCACCCUUUGGCUUAUUUACAUUAAUAAAAAUCACAAACUUUAAUAACAGACAGUUAAAAAUAAGAUAAAAAUGGAUUGAAAGUUUUUCUGAUUACUAAAAGGUAAAUUACUUUUCUGUUCAUUGAAUAUCAGCCUUAUUAAGCUUGUCAUAUAAAUUAUUAAAUCAUUCAUGUCAUACUACAUAAACAAAUGUUCAUUUCAGAAUUUUAAAGAGAAAUGUAUAUAAAAGAACAAUGAAUUUUAAUAAAUCAAGGGUACUUAAGUCCUUUUUCAUCCAACUAGCUGAAUUGUUUCAGAUUUUCUCUAGUACCAGAGUGUACCUGCUCAAACUCUUUGAACCACUUAGGGCAGAAGAAUGCAAGCUCUGAAAUGACAUCCUUAAAAUGCUGAUACUGGUCACAA